rnacentral:rRNA from 1 species
CGAGCGAAGCGCUUGAAUCUGAUUCUUCGGAUGAGGAUUCUUGUGACUGAGCGGCGGACGGGUGAGUAACGCGUGGGCAACCUGCCUUACACAGGGGGAUAACAGUUAGAAAUGACUGCUAAUACCGCAUAAGACCGCAGUACCGCAUGGUACAGCGGUAAAAACUCCGGUGGUGUAAGAUGGGCCCGCGUCUGAUUAGGUAGUUGGCGGGGUAACGGCCCACCAAGCCGACGAUCAGUAGCCGACCUGAGAGGGUGACCGGCCACAUUGGGACUGAGACACGGCCCAGACUCCUACGGGAGGCAGCAGUGGGGAAUAUUGCACAAUGGGGGAAACCCUGAUGCAGCGACGCCGCGUGAGCGAUGAAGUAUUUCGGUAUGUAAAGCUCUAUCAGCAGGGAAGAAAAUGACGGUACCUGACUAAGAAGCCCCGGCUAACUACGUGCCAGCAGCCGCGGUAAUACGUAGGGGGCAAGCGUUAUCCGGAUUUACUGGGUGUAAAGGGAGCGUAGACGGCUGUGCAAGCCAGAUGUGAAAGCCCGGGGCUCAACCCCGGGACUGCAUUUGGAACUGUGUGGCUGGAGUGUCGGAGAGGCAGGCGGAAUUCCUAGUGUAGCGGUGAAAUGCGUAGAUAUUAGGAGGAACACCAGUGGCGAAGGCGGCCUGCUGGACGAUGACUGACGUUGAGGCUCGAAAGC